rnacentral:rRNA from 1 species
CCUACGGGUGGCAGCAGUGGGGAAUAUUGCACAAUGGGGGGAACCCUGAUGCAGCGACGCCGCGUGAGUGAAGAAGUAUUUCGGUAUGUAAAGCUCAAUCAGCAGGGAAGAAAAUGACGGUACCUGACUAAGAAGCCGCGGCUAACUACGUGCCAGCAGCCGCGGUAAUACGUAGGGGGCAAGCGUUAUCCGGAUUUACUGGGUUUAAGGGGAGCGUAGACGGUUAUGCAAGUCUGAAGGUAAAGCCCAAGGCUUAACCAUGGGACUGCUUUGGAAACUGUAAAACUUGAGUGCAGGAGAGGUAAGCGGAAUUCGUAGUGUAGCGGUGAAAUGCGUAGAUAUUAGGAAGAACUCCAGUGGCGAAGGCAGCUUACUGGACUGUAACUGACGUUGAGGCUCGAAGGCGUGGGGAUCAAACAGGAUUAGAUACCCCUGUAGUC